GACGAACGCUGGCGGCGUGCUUAACACAUGCAAGUCGAACGAAAGGCCCCUUUUGGGGGGUACUCGAGUGGCGAACGGGUGAGUAACACGGGAGUAACCUGGCCUUUAAUUUGGGAUAAAUUUAGGAAAACGGGGCUAAUACCGGAAAGGAGCUCCCGCUGCAUGGUGGGGGGUGGAAAGUUUCGGCGGUUGGGGAUGGACUCGCGGCUUAUCAGCUUGUUGGUGGGGUAGUGGCUUACCAAGGCUUUGACGGGUAGCCGGCCUGAGAGGGUGACCGGCCACAUUGGGACUGAGAUACGGCCCAGACUCCUACGGGAGGCAGCAGUGGGGAAUAUUGCACAAUGGGUGGAAGCCUGAUGCAGCAACGCCGUGUGCGGGAUGACGGCCUUCGGGUUGUAAACCGCUUUCGCUCAUGACGAAGCUUUGUGUGACGGUAGUGGGUAAAGAAGCACCGGCUAACUACGUG
rnacentral:rRNA from 1 species